UACGAAGGGGGCUAGCGUUGCUCGGAAUUACUGGGCGUAAAGGGUGCGUAGGCGGUCGGGUAAGUCUGAUGUGAAAUCUCACAGCUUAACUGUGAAACUGCAUUGGAUACUAUUCGGCUUGAGAGUUGGAGGGGGGACUGGAAUUCUCGGUGUAGCAGUGAAAUGCGUAGAUAUCGAGAGGAACACCAGUGGCGAAGGCGAGUCCCUGGACAGGUCCUGACGCUGAGGCACGAAAGCUAGGGGAGCAAACAGG
rnacentral:rRNA from 1 species